rnacentral:rRNA from 1 species
AGCGAACGUUUGCGGCGGGCUUAACACAUGCAAGUCGAACGGGCUGUUCCUUCGGGGGCAGUCAGUGGCGCACGGGUGCGUAACACGUAGGUAAUCAACCCUCUGGCUGGGGAUAACACUUCGAAAGGAGUGCUAAUACCCGGUAUGGCGCAGCGGUCUUCGGAUCGCGGCGAAGAAAGACCCGCAAGGGGCUGCCAGAGGACGAGCCUGCGGCCCAUCAGCUAGUUGGCGAGGUAACGGCUCACCAAGGCGAAGACGGGUAGCUGGUCUGAGAGGAUGAUCAGCCACACUGGCACUGAGAUACGGGCCAGACUCCUACGGGAGGCAGCAGUGAGGAAUAUUGCGCAAUGGGCGAAAGCCUGACGCAGCGACGCCGCGUGGGGGAUGAAGGUUUUCGGAUUGUAAACCCCUUUCAUGAGGAAAGAUAAAGUGGGUAACCACUUAGACGGUACCUCAAGAAGAAGCCACGGCUAACUUCGUGCC